GCCAAAGCCUGGAGUGCAAGGAAGAACUGGAGAACAAUGCAAAGAAAGGAGAGAGCCAGAAGAAGCAGCUGUGUGUUCUGGUGCAGUAUGGAGAAAGGGUUGUUUAAUGUUUCCUCACCCUGAAGAUAGCCCAAGAUUUUAGGAUCUCGCCUGGCAGCCUCCCACAAAAACAUUAUGAGAGAGCAAGUUGUCGGAGUAUUCAUCCAAUGAGAAGACAAUAAAAGGUGCUGUCUCACGUAUUGGGUGCAGCCACCCCUUUGGCUUGGAGAGAGGAAGGGACGUGGAUUGCAGGAUGGAUACCUGCCCUUGAGCUGCCCCUCUAUUCACCAUCUGUCAUCCCAGAUGUUUCUCCGCAGGCGGGAUAGCCAGGAGCCCUUUUUUAGCAUGGCAAAGAGAGACAUCUAGUGGGGGGAUGAAGUAAAUAUGAUUUUUAACAUCCUCGUUUUUCCACAUAUAAGUAGAGAAGAUGGGAGUGGGUAUGCGAGAAGGUGUACACGGCAGACUGAG